ensembl:lncRNA
AGCGAUGCUGUCAACUAGACUUGAAACUUAAGCAUUUGCAUAUUUUCUGUCAUUGUGCAUUUCAUGUGGAUAGCUGUCUUCCAAAGACGUACAUUGGCCCUCGUCUUGCGUGCUGCACACUCUGAGGCCUUCUGAGACUGACGGACAGACAGACGCAACACGCCUGAGGGACAGACACAAGGACAGCACCAGAGGAAGUCUCCACAGCAACAAGAGAGCCAGAGAACACGCAACGGCUGGAUCUCUUUAUUAAUCCCCUGCCUACCUGAUCGCGUUGCCUCUGCCUGCCUGCCUGCCUGCCUGCCUGCCCGCCUGCCCGCCCGCCCGCCUGCGCUCGCUGUGUCUGUAGCCAAGGGAGACUAAAAUACCCAGUAUAUUCAGGUGAAGAAAUGGAGCUUAAGAUUAUAUAGAAUUGUUAAUGGCUGUUAGUGUUGUUUUCCUAUUGUUAGAUCUGUUUGUCAAGUCUAACGACCUAGGCUAAGUAGACUCUUACCAGCCCUUAAAAAUAAACACUUCAUAUUUCCUAUUUUCACCUAUGUUCUUCCAUUCUCCAUGGAUCUCUCAAGCGUCGACUGCCUCUAUAAUAUUGUAAUUUCAUUGCUUAACUGCGUGAACAGCACUGGUGGAAAAGGGUAAGGCGCAUAAGAGCAGCUGCACUAAAAACUCAGCUCUGCUCAGCCUUCCCCAAAGAGAUGUAAUGCUUAAGUGAGUGGCUUGUGUUGUCUACCCUACAGUGUAAUGGCUGUGUGGAAAUAGGUCACCUGAAGUGGUAGUCUUCUGCUCUUGAUUCAAAAUUAAUCUUGAUAAAUAUGCUGUUUUUCUUCUAAAGAAAGGACUACGGUCGGCCUUCCAUGCACCUAUAAUAAACCUCUGUAUUGGUGGUGCUUGUGUGAAGUACAUCAGUCUGUGCUUUCAUUCAGUAAUGUGAUGAAAAGCCUUUGAGUGAGCAAUGCCGUCA